UACGUAGGGGGCUAGCGUUGUCCGGAAUCAUUGGGCGUAAAGCGCGUGUAGGCGGCCCGGUAAGUCCGCUGUGAAAGUCGGGGGCUCAACCCUCGGAUGCCGGUGGAUACUGUCGGGCUCGAGUACGGAAGAGGCGAGUGGAAUUCCUGGUGUAGCGGUGAAAUGCGCAGAUAUCAGGAGGAACACCGAUGGCGAAGGCAGGUCUCUGGGCCACUGACUGACGCUGAGAAGCGAAAGCAUGGGGAGCAAACAGG
rnacentral:rRNA from 1 species